AUUGAACGCUGGCGGCAUGCCUAACACAUGCAAGUCGAACGGCAGCACAGUAAAGACUUCGGUCUUUAUGGGUGGCGAGUGGCGGACGGGUGAGUAACGCGUAGGAAUCUGUCCUGGAGAGUGGGAUAACCCGAGGAAACUCGGGCUAAUACCGCAUGAUAUCGAGAGAUCAAGGCAGGGGACCCUUCGGGGCCUUGCGCCCUAGGUUGAGCCUACGUCGGAUUAGCUAGUUGGUGGGGUAAAGGCCUACCAAGGCGACGAUCCGUAGCUGGUCUUAGAUGAUGACCAGCCACACUGGGACUGAGACACGGCCCAGACUCCUACGGGAGGCAGCAGUGGGGAAUCCUGGACAAUGGGGGAAACCCUGAUCCAGCGAUGCCGCGUGUGUGAAGAAGGCCUUCGGGUUGUAAAGCACUUUAGGUGGGGAAGAAAGGUAAUGAGUGAAUAACUGAUUGCUUUGACGGUACCCGCAGAAUAAGCACCGGCUAACUCUGUGCCAGCCGCCGCAGUAA
rnacentral:rRNA from 1 species